CGACGCCGCGUGGGUGAUGAAGGCCUUCGGGUCGUAAAGCCCUGUCGAGGGGGAAGAAAUGGUCGAGACCCAAUACGUCUCGAUCUUGACGGUACCCCCUAAAGGAAGCACCGGCUAACUCCGUGCCAGCAGCCGCGGUAAUACGGAGGGUGCAAGCGUUGUUCGGAAUCACUGGGCGUAAAGCGCGUGCAGGCGGCUCGUUAAGUCUGGUGUGAAAGCCCGGGGCUCACCCCCGGAAGUGCACUGGAUACUGGCGGGCUCGAGUCCCAGAGAGGAGGGUGGAAUUCCUGGUGUAGCGGUGAAAUGCGUAGAUAUCAGGAGGAACACCGGCGGCGAAGGCGGCCCUCUGGACGGUGACUGACGCUGAGACGCGAAAGCGUGGGGAGCAAACAGGAUUAGAUACCCUGGUUGUCCACGCUGUAAACGAUGAGCACUAGGUGUCGCGGGUAUUGACCCCUGCGGUGCCGUCGCAAACGCAUUAAGUGCUCCGCCUGGGGAGUACGGUCGCAAGAUUA
rnacentral:rRNA from 1 species